UGGGGAAUAUUGCGCAAUGGGCGGAAGCCUGACGCAGCGACGCCGCGUGGGGGAUGACGGCCUUCGGGUUGUAAACCUCUUUCGACUUCGACGAAGCCUUCGGGUGACGGUAGGGGUGGAAGAAGCACCGGCCAACUACGUGCCAGCAGCCGCGGUAAUACGUAGGGUGCGAGCGUUGUCCGGAAUUAUUGGGCGUAAAGAGCUCGUAGGCGGUGUGUCGCGUCGGCCGUGAAAACCUGCAGCUUAACUGUGGGCGUGCGGUCGAUACGGGCAUCACUGGAGUUCGGCAGGGGAGACUGGAAUUCCUGGUGUAGCGGUGAAAUGCGCAGAUAUCAGGAGGAACACCGGUGGCGAAGGCGGGUCUCUGGGCCGAUACUGACGCUGAGGAGCGAAAGCGUGGGGAGCAAACA
rnacentral:rRNA from 1 species